CGGCGACGGGUGAGUAACACGUGGAUAACCUACCUAUAAGACUGGGAUAACUUCGGGAAACCGGAGCUAAUACCGGAUAAUAUAUUGAACCGCAUGGUUCAAUGGUGAAAGACGGUUUUGCUGUCACUUAUAGAUGGAUCCGCGCCGCAUUAGCUAGUUGGUAAGGUAACGGCUUACCAAGGCAACGAUGCGUAGCCGACCUGAGAGGGUGAUCGGCCACACUGGAACUGAGACACGGUCCAGACUCCUACGGGAGGCAGCAGCC
rnacentral:rRNA from 1 species